rnacentral:rRNA from 1 species
CCUACGGGAGGCAGCAGUGGGGAAUAUUGGACAAUGGAGGCAACUCUGACCCAGCAACGCCGCGUGAGUGAUGAAGGUUCUCGGAUUGUAAAGCUCUGUGAUGGGGGAUGAACACAAUGACGGUACCCCAAUAGCAAGCCACGGCUAACUACGUGCCAGCAGCCGCGGUAAUACGUAGGGGGCAAGCGUUAUCCGGAUUGACUGGGCGUAAAGGGUGCGUAGGGGGCUUAGUAAGUCGGAGGUGUAAGUCCGGGGCUCAACCUCGGAGCUACCUUCGAAACUAUUAGACUAGAGUGCAGGAGGGGUAAGUGGAAUUCCUAGUGUAGCGGUGAAAUGCGUAGAUAUUAGGAGGAACACCAGGGGCGAAGGCGACUUACUGGACUGUAACUGACACUGAGGCACGAAAGCGUGGGGAGCAAACAGGAUUAGAUACCCUAGUAGUC